AUUUAAAUAAUUUAAAAAAAAUAUUGAUUUGUGGAAUCAAAAAUAUGAAAAUUCAUUUUAAAUC